rnacentral:misc_RNA from 1 species
GAUGAAGAACGCAGCGAAAUGCGAUACGUAAUGUGAAUUGCAAAUUCAGUGAAUCAUCGAGUCUUUGAACGCACAUUGCGCCCCCUGGUAUUCCGGGGGGCAUGCCUGUCCGAGCGUCAUUGCUGCCCUCAAGCACGGCUUGUGUGUUGGGCCCCGUCCUCCGAUCCCGGGGGACGGGCCCGAAAGGCAGCGGCGGCACCGCGUCCGGUCCUCGAGCGUAUGGGGCUUUGUCACCCGCUCUGUAGGCCCAGCCGGCGCUUGCCGAUCAACCCAAAUUUUUAUCCAGGUUGACCUCGGAUCAGGUAGGGAUACCCGCUGAACUUAAGCAUAUCAAUAAGCGGAGGA